rnacentral:sRNA from 1 species
UUUAGAGGAACGGAGGCUAAAAGCAUCACGUCCUGUGAUAACGCCUCCGUGACCAACAUCGUGUCGG